GACGAACGCUGGCGGCGUGCCUAAUACAUGCAAGUCGAACGAGAGCGACCGGUGCUUGCACUGGUCAAUCUAGUGGCGAACGGGUGAGUAACACGUGGGUAACCUGCCCAUCAGAGGGGGAUAACAUUCGGAAACGGAUGCUAAAACCGCAUAGGUUCUUUAGUCGCAUGACUGAAGAAGGAAAAGAGGCUUCGGCUUCUGCUGAUGGAUGGACCCGCGGUGCAUUAGCUAGUUGGUGAGGUAACGGCUCACCAAGGCGAUGAUGCAUAGCCGACCUGAGAGGGUGAUCGGCCACAUUGGGACUGAGACACGGCCCAAACUCCUACGGGAGGCAGCAGUAGGGAAUCUUCCGCAAUGGACGCAAGUCUGACGGAGCAACGCCGCGUGAGUGAAGAAGGAUUUCGGUUCGUAAAACUCUGUUGUUAGAGAAGAACAGCGCAUAGAGUAACUGUUAUGCGUGUGACGGAUCUAACCAGAAAGCCAC
rnacentral:rRNA from 1 species